rnacentral:lncRNA from 1 species
AUUCAUGUUUCCAAAGAGCAGAAGAAACAGAAGCUGGGGGAUCCUGGAGCCAGUGGAAUCCAUGUGUUCCUCUGUGUGACCGUCCAGGACCCACUUCUCUCCUGGAGUCAAACGUACUUACGCUGCCAAGGAUGGAAAACUGGGCUCCUCUUUCCUAACCUGGUUUCCCACUCCUCCCUUCCAAAUUCGUUGGGCUCCCACAAAGAUCCUGUGCAGACAGAGAGACAGAGAGACAGACAGACAGCGUGCUCCUGUUUUCCCCUUGUCUGCUCUGGCUCAGCACGUCCCUGGCUGUGGGGUGUGGGAAGGGGCAGGGGCUGGAAGGGCAUUUCCCACCAUCUGCCUGCACGGAGGCAGACUUUAUAGCACAGGGAAUUUUAAAACCUGCCCUUUAUUCCUUAGUCUUAAGCAGGAAUAUAACUUAUUUUUGCAUUUCUUUUGUCCCAAGGUAUAGCAGGAAGUCAUCGAGUCUGUAUGAAAACAAGUCCGAGACAUCAAACGUGGAAGCAUCUAACAACAAAAACAGGAAUUCCAGUCCCAGCGCCAGACAAAAGAGAGGCUGGCCCGGCAGGCAGAUGCCAUCUCUAGACACCUUUGAAGAUUUUGAAGCCAUCCCCUCCAGCACGGACGAGCUCUCCAACUCCUCUGACUUGGAGGAAGAGACCAACCCCAACAAUGUAAUUCCUUUUCCAAAUUACGCUGCCCUUUCCCAGGGCGACCUCCUCCUCGCUAAAGAUCACGGUGUGAGCUCCACGGCUCGGGGUCACACCAGCCUUAGACUCGUGGGUGUGGGGGAACACGGGUGGCAAUUUGACCUGGGGUGUUGGGGGAUUAUCCCAAGGCUAUUUUGUUGAUCAGGAUCAGGGCCAUAAAAAGGCACCUUUACUCAUAAGCUGUAGCUUUACUUCUUGUAAAGGGGAGGGAAAACUCUGAGCCCUUAAAAAAGUAAUUUCAGACUUUUCCAGGAAACUUAACCUGGUGUCACAAACCCCGUUUCUCUGUCAGAAUAAUGGCUGGUGGGUUCAUUCUAAAGCCUGAAUGCACAGCACAGCUCUGUCCUAAAUUUGAAUAAUAUUUAACCUGGGCAUGAUAAAAGGAAUAAGAAGUGGCACAGAACAAAUCUCUGCCAGCUUGAAAUGCCUCACUCAGUAUUUGACUGACCUCGCCCUCUCUUUCAUCCAUAGUGACUGUAUUUCUGGUGCAUUCUCUCGUUCAUUUUAGGGGACCAAUCUCUUUCGGGUCGAAGGCAGCUUUGACAGCUGUUUCCCGGAUUCUCUGACCCUGGAGGACGGAGAUUUAGUGCAGUUUGUGCAGGAAGGAGAGAACGGUCAGUGGUGAGUACCGCAGAGAGAGAGGAUUUGACAGGCAGAGCAGCCAUAACCCCCUGGAAAAGGCGGAAAAUAUUCAGAAGGAUGUCAAAGCCUCUUCAAAAUCAAUCCAG